AUACUUCUUUGUUCUUUUUCUUCUCUGUACUCUUUGCUGUUUGAUUUUCUUCUCUUCAGUUAUCUCUUCUAUUCAGCUGAUCCACUUUAUCAUCUCAAAAAUCUGCUGUCAAUGUAACUGUGUGAGCUGAUUCUGACUCUUUCAGAUGCUGUACACUGCUAGAAAUAACAGAGUCUUGAACAUACUCUCUAUUCUAUUGUGCUACUGUUUCUUACUAUACUUCUCUGUUUUUUUUUAAAUUAAUUGUACUGAUUUUACUGAUCUGAGUCUCACUUUAUACUUUUGUCAACUCUUUGAUAUUCUUCACUAUUUUUAAUUAAGAGAUGUGUCUAUUUUCACUCAUUCUGAUGAUUUUUCUUUCUCUUUUUUCUUUUGUAUUAGAGAAAGAUUGAAAGAGAGAAGUUUACUG
rnacentral:sRNA from 1 species